UGAGUCUCCAAAGACAUCACUGAAGCCAAUUUUGCAGCCUGUGUUUUCAGGAAAUAGAAAACAGAUAUGUUGGAUGGCUGACAAUUGGGAUCUAAUUUUGACUAGAAUAAGCUCGACUGGCAUGGAAGAGACAGAAAAGGAGAAGACACAGACAGGGAGAAUGCUUAUGAAGAUGGAACAGACUGGAUUGAUUUGUCAAGGAAAAUGUCAGGGUUCCCUAAUAACCACUGGAAGGAGAGGAGAGAAACAAUGACGAGAUCCUCCCUCAGAUAAUCCAGAAGAAACCAACUCUACCUGCACCAUGAUUUUGGACUUCUGGCCUCCAAAACUGUAAGAGAAUAAAUUUCUGUUCU